rnacentral:misc_RNA from 1 species
GAUAUCAUAUUCUAUUCUGUGUCUGCCUGCGUGCCUGCGCGCGCCUCUCUUCUUCGCCCCGAUUAUUGCUGCUACCUGCUCUUACCGUGUUGGGGAAGGGGAGGGCGGCGACCCGGCAUCGAUACGCGCAUACACGCACGUAUAUACAUAUAUAUAUAUAUAUACGUAUAUCUUUGUGUGUUUGUGCGGCGGUGCUGUGUGAUGCAGCGUCCGUCACGGUGGAGCCCCUCACCACCCACACACACACACACGCACGCACGCACGCGCAUGCCUUCUUGAGCAUUUUUCGCCGUGGUGGUCAGGGGCCCUUUUCUCUCUGCCUCACUUUUUGUGGGCAUAUCGCACCUCUGCACCACUCCGCCCGGUGCGCACGCCUCUGGCGAGGUCCACCGCUUGACAAGAUGAAGGACACCAAAGGCAGCGGCAACAAAGUGGCGCGCGCCGCGUCGUCGGCCGCCGGUAGCGCGGCCUCGAGCCCUCGAAAAGGCCAAGUGCGCUAUCGCCGCACCUUGCAGGGCCAGCGUGCAGAAACCGACGGCAAGUCAUCGGAGGGCGUGGUUGCUGCCACGCAGGCGCGCCGCGUCGCGCCGGUGGUGCAGUCGGCGGCUCUCAUGCAUAUCGAAACAAGCAUCGACGCGAUGCACCGCCCGCCGCCCGUGGAGGUGUCACCGUCGAACCCGAGGGUGUCUGCAGCACGACGGUACGCGCCUUCCGUCGCGGGUGGGCAACAUCAUCACCGCGGGCAGCACAAGGGGUUGUCUGCGAGCGGUCAGCCGAAGAGCCGCUGGAUGCGCCUGCGCUCCUUCAUGUUUGGCCGGGAGGAGUUCGUGGACUUCGACAACGCAUUCGCGAGUCCGACUGACUCCGCAAAGGUUACCGACUCGCAGCGACGCACAGCACGGAUGAUCGAGCGUCUGCCGCUCCCCAGCUGGAUGAAGCACAACCUCUUCGAUGUAGUCGACUUUCUGACACGCAGGCGGGUGCAUCUUGUCGUGCUCAUUCUCGCAGUGCUCAUGUUUGUGAUUGCGCCAGAAGGUGUGAUGGAGGACGUCGCCGGCUCCUUCACGGUCGAUGAGGACGCGCGACCGGGGCUCACCUUCUUCAAGAAGUACAACAGGGGUGACACAUACUUGCCGCGGCGGCACCCCGUCGUCAUCAUGCCGGGCUUCAUCACCGGCGCGCUGGAGGUGUGGGAAACCUCGCUGCCGUGUGCGCGGCAGAAGUCCUUCUUUUCGGGGUUCCGGCAGCGCAUGUUUGGACCGCAGAUGAUCUACCUCAUCCUGUCCGACCCGCAGUGCUGGCUGGACAUGUUCAGCAUGAACAAGAAAACCGGGAUGGACCGCGACGACACGAAGGUGCGCGCCGACUCUGGCUUCGCCUCGGUGGACUACUUCGUCCCUGGCUACUGGGUGUGGGCGAAGGUGCUCAUCAACCUCGCGGACAUCGGUUACGACCCGCAGAGCAUGGCAGUCGUGACAUACGACUGGCGCCUCUCCCCUGGUAAGGCGCACGAGCGCGACGGGUUCUUUUACCAGGUGCGCAACAGCCUGCGCUUUCUGUGCCAGAAGAACCGGAAGCGGGCGGUGGUCAUUUCGCACAGCUACGGCGCGACCGUCGCCCUGGCCUUCUUCCGGUGGGCAGAGCAGCGCGAGAGCGGCUUUAUGGACCGCCACGUCGCCUACUACGUGAACGUAGGCGGCGUUGCAAUGGGCGUUGGCAAGGCUGCCUCAGCGCUGCUGCUCGGCGACGCAAGAGACACGCUCAACAUUCAGUGGGCGGCCAGGAAGAUGUUCGACACCUUUAUCAGCCAGGAGGCCCGCUAUGGCUUGUCGCGGUCGUGGAGCUGCCUGGUGUCGAUGCUGCCGCGCGGUUGCGAGGAGGCGUGGCCGGGGCUCACGGUGCUGCCUAACGGCACCGCUCUCGGCACUCGCGGCACGGCGGAACUAAUCCGCGGUGAAUGCCAGCGCUCCGGUCACGAGGACUGCGUUCGUCAGAUCGACUCCUUCUUGGAGACUAUCGACGACUUGCCCUCGCUGCCGCAGGCACCAAACACAACGGUGGCGUGCCUGUACGGCGUCGGCUUGCCAGCGGAGGCAGGCUACUAUCUCAUGUGGAACCCAGACGAGGCGAACAUCGAAACCCCGUACGUAGGCAACAGCUCCGUAUUUAACAACAACACUUCACAUGGCGUGCGCAUGUCGGAUGGCGAUGAUACGGUGCCGCUCAUGUCGCUCGCGUACAUGUGUCGCGCCGUGAACGGGUGGAGACGCAAUGUGGGCCGCGUCGUGACGCGGGAAUUCAACCACAGCGUCAGUGGUGCCUCGUCCUUGAACCUGCGCGGUGGUAAACUGAGUGCCAAGCAUGUCGACAUUCUUGGCAACUACGAGAUGCUCGAGAUAAUCUUGAAGAUCGCCAGCGGCAUCGACGAGGAGGGUGUCGAGAAGCCUGAGAACGACGAGUUCAACUACACAAACGCGGACACCGGCGAGACCUCUACGCUGCAGCGCCGUGUGCACGACCGCAUCUACUCCGACGUGGACUUCAUUAUACGUAGCAACCUGCGCAGCUGCCUGCGCAAGAAGAACAAGCCGAUCAAACCUAUAGAGAGCUACGAGGAUGAUGACGAAUUUGCGUGGAGUGGCACUUCCAAGUCGUCGUGGCAACAACGGUAGGUCGAGCGUUUUCCAUAGGUGACUGGAAAGGUGGGGACCGAAUGGGAAGAGACGCACAGCGAGGGCCAGCUCGACAAGGACGUCAGGCGUCGGUCGUGUUGAAGAAUCAGCGAGGUACGCAGGCGUUGGCCUCAUCUAGGCGGUGUCCGGAGAGGUGGAUUCGGCUUCGCACUUGGAGGGAGGUGGACGCACACAUCCCACCGCCUUCUCAACAUUUUUGUUUUCCGUGGUACCCCUCAUGACGUCUCCCCCUCUGGUGACAGGAGGGCACACAUACACACACCUCUCAGAGCGUGGUGUCUCAGGGCCCUGUGCGACUCCCCCCACCCCCCACUCUCUGUGUUAGGGAGGCCAAACACCCCCCCCCCCUCUUCUACCUCUGCCAAUGCAGAACCCACCUCUGGCGGUGCGUCGGGACGGCCGACGACAGUGAACACGUCUGUGCCAUCCAUACGAUGGGCAGCACGUGUCAGGGUGACUCGAGCGUAUGCCUCACACGGCCCUCACACGGCCCACUGAUGUGUGGGGAGGAGCCUGUGUGCCACCCCGAGGGAGGGGGGAGGGGGGAUGCACCAGGCGUGGCGACCGGCAUGAUUGGGGGGCGGCUGUGUGGGGUGGGGGAGUAGAGCUUGAGACAGAGAUGGUGUACAGGUCGCUGAGUCGGCGCAUUUGCUGUAGCACACGUGUGUGUCUGCGGUUUGCUUCGCACCACGCGGAUGGGGCCUGGUGACAGGGCCGUGGAAGGGUGGGUGGGCGAAGGGGUGUGCAGAGUGGCGUUGGACUCAUACGCGAGGGCUGAGAAAUGAAGGCAGUGGCAGACGACAUACACGCCUCCCUCCCUCCCUCUUUUCAUUGCAGAAGUUCUUUUCGUGCCCUCAUGCGGUACGUGUCUCCUCUACUGCCUCCGGGAGGCUCCCGGCCGCCUCUUAUGCUAGGGCGGAUGUGAACGAGUUUUUUUUUUGCAUCUUCUGUGGCUUUAAAUCAUGUCUCUCAACCCCCCCCCCCGCCCGCUUCCCACUCACCCCACCCCCGCUGACCAUUCCGCCAUCAACUCCGUCAGCGGGUGGGGGACAUGGUGGACAAGGGGAGGGAGGAACCCAGCACUUUCAUUAGAGACAUGGGAACGAUCAAUCGCUACUCCAUGAGAACUGGAUCCAG